rnacentral:rRNA from 1 species
CACGUAGGGGCCAAGCGUUGUCCGGAUUUAUUGGGCGUAAAGAGCUCGUAGGCGGUUCGACAAGUCGGGUGUGAAAACUCCGGGCUCAACCCGGAGACGGCACCCGAUACUGUCGUGACUGGAGUCCGGUAGGGGAGUGGGGAAUUCCUGGUGUAGCGGUGAAAUGCGCAGAUAUCAGGAGGAACACCGGUGGCGAAGGCGCCACUCUGGGCCGGUACUGACGCUGAGGAGCGAAAGCGUGGGUAGCAAACAGG